GCGCUCGUAGCUCAGCUGGAUAGAGCAAGUGGCUUCUAACCACUAGGUCGCAGGUUCGAAUCCUGCCGAGCGCG
rnacentral:tRNA from 1 species